rnacentral:lncRNA from 1 species
UGUUGUUUACCCCGUGUCCUCGUGGCUCUUCCAGUACCGCCCUGUUGCAGGGUGGGCUGCUGCCAUCCUUUCCGUGGGGUGGAGGGGCAGUUUCCCUGCCCCGUUAUGGGGUUUGGCUUUCAGGAGGGCUGUGUGGGUCCUGAGGGUGUUGGCAGUGUGGGCUGAGCGGGGCCCUCCCCACCUGCACUGUAGACUGAUUACAGCAUAAUCCCAGGGAUUAACCACGUGUAAUCCUGGGGUUUAAGCACUGCCUCCCUCGGCCUCCCCUAAAUCCCACUCUGGCCCAUCUGCUCCCCCCAGCGCUGUCCAGGCUCACGUGGGCUGGCACGGGGCUGCAGCAGCACUCGCCAACUGGGCUGAGGGAAAGGUCUGUGCUGUGCUGAGUCUCGCUGAGCUGCAGCGCUUCUGGUGGUUCCUUACGCCCUCGAGGUGGAGCCCAAAGGCUGCAUUUAGGGCCAAGGAGCCCUCACAGCCCCUUCAGCCACUUAACCACAGAGCGAAGCCCCCACACUCACCUGGGAGUUCCCACCCACCUGUGCUGCAUACAAACGUUGUGGCAGGAGCCUUAAAUCUGCUUUAAUUUAGUCACGGAAUGGCUCUUCUCCUGCAGGUGCACUCCAAACUACGACCUGGCAUCACAGAGCAGCACCAGAGCCCAUGGAAGCAAACCCGAGUGGCUUCGAGAGCGCAUCCCCCAGCAAGAAAACUUCCAGGGAAAGUUUCCUUGUUUGCCUGGGCACGGACAGAGCGAGGAGCAGAGCGAGGUGUGGGGUAGGAGGAGCCGCCUUUAAUCCUAACAAGCCCGGUGCUGAGCCCCACCUGCCAUGGGAUGAGUGCAUGGAGCUGCACGGAGCCUCGGGGGGCGCAGGAAGGGACGGCAGCCCUGUGGUGUCCCAGGGAAGAGAGAACUGCAGGCAGACCCUGAACGUUCCGGUCCCCAUAAGCUGCUGUCAGAGCUCCGAGAAGAGCGGCUGCUCCCGCACGCUGCUGCUGGCCGUCACCACGGCGGGGCUGCGGCCAGGGCUGCCGUAGGGCACGUGGGUGCUCAGGAAGAAGAAGGGGAUGUGGCUGAUGGUCCCCGUGGACCAGCACACGGUCAGCAGCGCUCCCUUCUGGAAGCAGGGGUGGAAGGCGAUGAGCUGCGGCUCCGCGCUCUGCUCCCCCCGCAGGAAUCCGCUGGAAGGGAAAGGAGAGCCGCAGUGAGCCGGGCGGCACAGCGAUAACGCACAGCGCUUUGGGGUGAAGGGGGAUCUCUGCUGCACCGCGAGACAGAACCACAGCGGGCUUUCAGGAUGAUGGACAACGUGUCCAAAACGUGACCGCUUUGGGGGUAAAACGGUACUGCGUGGAGCAGCGGUGUGGGAUGGCAGCAGCACAGCAUCUCUUCGCUCCUUCCCACUGCAUCCCAAAGGCGGACGGCGUCCAACCAACCCCACAGCACCUCAAGAAGCCCCAAAGCCAUCUGCUACGCACCACGGCAGGAGCUCAAACACGGGGCUGUUGCGGAGGGGCAGUCACAGCGAGGAGGAGUGGAGAGAAGGGGGGUGCUGCCCCCAACCCCGAGGAGUUCCCUGCAGGAAGGACGGAUUUGGGGCGAAGCCGGCGGGGAGCAGCGCUGCGCCACAGCUCUGACCUCGGAUGAUCACCGCCAGCCGCUCCCCGGUGGGGUCCCACGCCAUGGACUGCACAGCUCCUCCAACCCUGCAGCACAGCACAGUGAGUGCCCACCGACGUGCCCAGGGCCAGGGGGGGGCACAGAGCCCCCCCACCUCCCAGCGUCGCUCCGUGGGGCCGCGUGCAGUCAGACCCACCUCUCCUCCCCAUAGGGCGUCUCGAAGGUGGUCUCUGACAGAUCUGCCACAAUCGAAGCUGUUUUCGAACCUCCCACCUGGCCCUGCAUGUCCCCUGCAAUGAAGGCCCAAAGAGCACGCUGGUUUCUGCUUCCCUGCUCUGUGCACGUCGUCUCACUGCCCUAAAUCUGCGCUUCUGCUCCUAAAAUGAUGCGGAAUUUCUGCCCCUUGGAGCUGUGGAGCCUCCUGCUGUCCCAGGACGGCACACAGGGAAGGAUUUCCCUGGACAGAAGUGAGCACCCAUUGCCUCCACGCAGAACGGGCACGUGAGUGAGCUGAGCAGCUGCGCUGUGAGAAUCUCCCUGCAGAGCUCCAAGCUGAAGGAGUGACACGAGGGGGGAAUACGGACAGCAAACUGUUGUGAGAGCCCCCACAAACCUCCUCCUUCCACCCCCUCCUCCACUGUCCCGGCUUUGCCACGCCACAGCAGGUUGGAAGCUCUCCCUGACGGAUGCAGAGCCUCUCUUGGCCACAACCACCCACAGCUGAAAGCGAAACGACGGCUGGGGAAGCAAAUGGGGCUCUCUGGGGGGCACUCACCCCUGUACUCGGAGAAGGACAAGGAGUAGAUGACGGACUCCCCCAGCACUGUGAAGAGCAGCCGGCUGCCAUCAGGGCUCCAACACCCCGUCUGCGGGGCACAGGGGGACGUCAGAAUGCCCAGCACACCCCCGAGUGGUGGGAAAUGCCCCUUCCCGCUGUGCCCGCCCCACCUGGCAGCGCCCUUUGAUGGUGGGCCACUUCUCACACGUCCACAUCUGAGCUUCCCACACUCUGUAAGAGAGGGAGAAUGACGUGAGGGGGACGAACUGCCCCAAACCUGCCCCAAUUCUGCCCCUCUGAGAGGAGCCCGAGGCAUCAGACCCAACUUUACCCCCAUAUCUGACACGGGGGGAAGGGGAGCAGCGAUGACACAAAGCAGCCAGGUGUGCUCCGAUGGGGGGCAAAUGAAAACGGUAAUAGAGUUGAGAGUGAACAAAAAGAGGAAGGAAGGGGGCCAGGAGCUCACUUGAACACGGCAGAGGGGGUGGCUGCCAGGACUUUGCUGCCAUCGGGGGACCACGCCAAGAAGGUGACCCCACCGCCCCCGAACCACUGCAGCUGGACACAGUUCUCGGUGGACACAUCCCACACCUGGAGGGGGACAGAGGGGUGGGGGGCAGCGCAGCGCUCCCACCAUCAGCCCGAGCCCAGACGUGGGGCACUGCGGAGCGCUCCAAAUUCAGGGCCGUCCUUUGAGGAAACGCUGCCCCCCGUGGUCACAGCACCUCCUGAGCAUCCCAGCAGUGGGGUGAUGGCCCCGGACCCCCAAACACAGCCCCACGCUCACCAGCAUGGCCGUGUCCACGGGUGAGGCCGAGAGCAGCAGCUUCCCGCUGGGUGCCCACGCCAGGCUGGUGACGGGGCUGUGCCCGGGGUAGGACAGCACCUGGGCGCAGCCGGAUGAGGGUCUGCGGGGACAGAAACCACAGCUGAUGGGGGACAGGAGGGACGCCGAGGGCCGGUGGUGCACCACAGCGCGUUCCGUACCCCCAGCGGGACGGACAGCAGCCUGGAUUUAACCUGAAGCCCGACAAAAUGGGAUGGACGGCCCUCGCUGUGAGGUCAGGGGCGCGAGUGUGGGGCUGUCACCCCAUGGGAACGUCACCCCAUGGGAACGUCACCUGGUGGAGAGGGACGUGGGGUCCAGGUGCCACACGAGGACGCAGCUCUGGCAGGCGACGGCCAGGAUGGAGGCACACAGCGGCUUCCAGGCGACGGCGGCCACAUUCCUCUGCAGACGAUGCUUCAGCGAUGGGAUGGUGGCACUGCGGGGAGGAGGGAGCGUGACAGGAGGCCGAGCGGGAGCAGCGGGGUCACAACGAGGUGGGACGUCCCCGGGGACCUCUCUGCAGCCCUGAGUGCGGUGGGUGCCUAAAGCCUACGGGGAGGGGGGCCCACCGUGAGCUGUGCCCUCAGGGGGGACGGAGGGGACCCAGCCAGGUGACACCGGUGCUGCUGGAGCACACCUCGUGCGAUUCAGCGCCCGCAGCCCGGGGGGAGAUCUGGCACUUGUUGGCUUGAAAUCCCAACUGGGGGAGAGCGGCUCGGCGGGGCAGCGCUGCUUGGGGCGCAGCACGAGCCGGGAAAGUCUUCUCUUAAGGAGGGCUUUAUAGGUCUGCCGAGACCCGCCGGGGGAGCAAGGAGACCUAGAGGAGAAAUGAGGCUGAAGGGCGAGAGAAAGCCCGGCUGGGGGUGGGGGUGUCGGGAAGGGUCCUAACAGAGCUCUGUGAGAAGUCG